rnacentral:rRNA from 1 species
UCUAAUGAGACUGCCGGUGACAAGCCGGAGGAAGGUGGGGAUGACGUCAAGUCCUCAUGGCCCUUAUGACCAGGGCUUCACACGUCAUACAAUGGUCGGUACAGAGGGUAGCCAAGCCGCGAGGCGGAGCCAAUCUCACAAAACCGAUCGUAGUCCGGAUUGCACUCUGCAACUCGAGUGCAUGAAGUCGGAAUCGCUAGUAAUCGCAGGUCAGCAUACUGCGGUGAAUACGUUCCCGGGUCUUGUACACACCGCCCGUCACACCAUGGGAGUGGGGGAUACCAGAAGUAGGUAGGGUAACCGCAAGGAGCCCGCUUACCACGGUAUGCUUCAUGACUGGGGUGAAGUCGUAACAAGGUAGCCGUAGGGGAACCUGCGGCUGGAUCACCUCCUUUCUAG